rnacentral:rRNA from 1 species
AUCGAUGAAGAACGCAGCGAAAUGCGAUAAGUAAUGCGAAUUGCAGAAUUCCAGUGAGUCAUCGAAUCUUUGAACGCACAUUGCGCCCUUUGGCAUUCCGAAGGGCAUGCCUGUUCGAGCGUCAUUAUCACCUCUCAAGCCCCCUGGGUUUGGCCUUGGACGGCUGGUCGGGCGCCGCCCGACCCCUCCUAAAGACAACGACGGCGGCUUUGUCUGACCCCCGGUACACUGAGCUUCUUAACCGAGCACGUACCGGAACGAGGGUCGGCGGGCCACGGUCUUCUCCCCUCGCGGGGAAAUUUUCUCAGGUUGACCUCGGAUCAGGUAGGGAUACCCGCUGAACUUAGGCAUAUCAAUAAGCGGAGGAAAAGAAACCAACAGGGAUUGCCUCAGUAACGGCGAGUGAAGCGGCAACAGCUCAAAUUUGAAAUCUGGCCUCUUUAGGGGUCCGAGUUGUAAUUUGUAGAGGAUGUUUCGGGUACCGCUCCGGUUUAAAUUUCUUGGAACAGAAUGUCAAAGAGGGUGAGAAUCCCGUCUUGAAACACGG